GGCUGAACUGACCAAGAGGCUGGGAGCUUUGGAGGAGCCUGACAUGACUGGCCAACUGGUCGACCUGCCUGAAUAUUACGGCUGGGGGGAGGAACUGACAGAGACCCAGCACAUGAUCCAGCGACGCAUCAUGGAGUCUGUGAACGGGCUGAAGUCUCUCUCAGCAGGAAGGGUGGUGGUUGUGAAGAAUCAGGAGCAUCACAAUGCACUGGGAGUGAUCCUACAGGUCUCCUCGAACUCCACCAGCAGAGUAUUCACAACCCUGGUCUUGUGUGAUAAGCCCUUGUCCCAGGACCCACAGGACAGGGGGCCAGCCACUUCAGAAGUACCCUAUCCAGAUGACCUCGUGGGAUUCAAGCUGUUCCUGCCUGAAGGGCCUUGUGACCACACCGUGGUCAAGCUCCAGCCAGGAGAUAUGGCUGCCAUCACCACCAAGGUGCUCCGGGUGAAUGGGGAGAAGAUCUUGGAGGACUUCAGCAAGAGGCAGCAGCCAAAAUUCAAGUCAGAGAUGCUAGGGAGGCCCUUCUCCUCCAGAGGGGCACGUAGAGGCAGGGAGGGGCAGUGGUCUGGGAGUUUCCCCCAGCCUGAGGGAGACCAUGAAGUGGUGGGGUUGUAGUGAGGGGGCUCCCCCAGCCUAAGGGAGACUGCGAAGUGGGGUUGUAGUAAGAGGGCUCCCACAGCCUGAGGGGGGCUUCUGUGGGAGAGAAGAUCUUACCCCAGAUCUUAAGAUCUGCUCCCUCUUCAGGAAGGAUCCUCCCCUUGCAGCCGUGACCACUGCUGUCCAGGAACUGCUGCGUCUGGCUCAGGCCCACCCAGCCGGACCCCCCACCCUCGACCCUGUCAAUGACCUGCAGCUCAAAGAUAUG
rnacentral:sRNA from 1 species